ensembl:misc_RNA 7SK 7SK RNA
GGAUAUGAGGGGAUCUGGCUGCAAUGACUGUCACAUUACUGAUCGUCAGGCUGAUUCAGCAGAUCUAGCCAGUGGGGCAGGCUACCCCUUCCUCCCUCACUGUUCCAGGUGCAUCCCUCCUGAAGCUGCUCCCUAGAUUGAAGAGAACCUUCUUUGAUCAAGGACUGUUCUUUGGACAAGUAUAUAAAGUAGCUGUGCUUCCCUGCUAAAAACUACAAACAAGCUCUCAAGAAAUACCUCAUGGUACAACUACAUCAUUGAUACAGCACUGUGCCAUAUCCUGAUAGCAAUUUCA